rnacentral:rRNA from 1 species
CAGUAGCCGCGGGAAUACGGAGGGGGCUAGCGUUGUUCGGAAUUACUGGGCGUAAAGCGCACGUAGGCGGUUUUGUAAGUCAGAGGUGAAAGCCCGGAGCUCAACUCCGGAACUGCCUUUGAGACUGCAUCACUUGAACGUCGGAGAGGUGAGUGGAAUUCCGAGUGUAGAGGUGAAAUUCGUAGAUAUUCGGAAGAACACCAGUGGCGAAGGCGGCUCACUGGACGACUGUUGACGCUGAGGUGCGAAAGCGUGGGGAGCAAACAGGAUUAGAUACCCCUGUAGUCCCUGUCUCUUAUAC